rnacentral:rRNA from 1 species
GAUGAACGCUGGCGGCGUGCCUAAUACAUGCAAGUCGAGCGAAAAGACGAGGAGCUUGCUCCUCUGACGUUAGCGGCGGACGGGUGAGUAACGCGUAGCUAACCUACCUAUUAGCCCGGACUAACUUAGGAGACCCGGAAAUAAUAUCGAAUAAUCUAUUGGACCGCAUGGUUCAAUAGUGAAAGGAAAUUUUGGUGUUACUUAUAGAUGGAUCCGCGCCGCAUUAGCUAGUUGUUGAGGUAACGGCUUACCAAGGCAACGAUGACUAGCCGACCUGAGAGUGUGAUCGUCCACACUGGAACUGAGACACGGUCCAGACUCCUACGGGUGGCAGCAGUAGGGAAUCUUCCGCAAUGGGCGAAAGCCGGACGGAGCAACGCCGCGUGAGUGAUGAAGGUCUUCGGAUCGUAAAACUCUGUUAUUAGGGAAGAACAAAUGUGUAAGUAACUAUGCACGUCUUGACGGUACCUAAUCAGAAAGCCACGGCUAACUACGUG